rnacentral:pre_miRNA from 11 species
CGGUUCUUGCUGGAGAAGCAGGGCACGUGCAAAAUCCUAAUGAAGUAUUUACACUUUGCACGCGCUUUUCUUCUCCAACACGGGCUC